GAUCCUGGCUCAGGAUGAACGCUAGCGGCAGGCUUAACACAUGCAAGUCGAGGGGCAGCAUAAUGGAUAGCAAUAUCUAUGGUGGCGACCGGCGCACGGGUGCGUAACGCGUAUGCAACCUACCCUUAACAGGGGGAUAACACUGAGAAAUUGGUACUAAUACCCCAUAAUAUCAUAGAAGGCAUCUUUUAUGGUUUGAAAAUUCCGAUGGUUAGAGAUGGGCAUGCGUUGUAUUAG
rnacentral:rRNA from 1 species